UCCUCGGUAGCUCAAUGGUAGAGCGACCGGCUGUUAACCGGUUGGUUGUUGGUUCGAGUCCAGCCCGAGGAG
rnacentral:tRNA from 2 species